GAUGAACGCUAGCUACAGGCUUAACACAUGCAAGUCGAGGGGCAGCAUGGUCUUAGCUUGCUAAGGCCGAUGGCGACCGGCGCACGGGUGAGUAACACGUAUCCAACCUGCCGUCUACUCUUGGACAGCCUUCUGAAAGGAAGAUUAAUACAAGAUGGCAUCAUGAGUCCGCAUGUUCACAUGAUUAAAGGUAUUCCGGUAGACGAUGGGGAUGCGUUCCAUUAGAUAGUAGGCGGGGUAACGGCCCACCUAGUCUUCGAUGGAUAGGGGUUCUGAGAGGAAGGUCCCCCACAUUGGAACUGAGACACGGUCCAAACUCCUACGGGAGGCAGCAGUGAGGAAUAUUGGUCAAUGGGCGCAGGCCUGAACCAGCCAAGUAGCGUGAAGGAUGACUGCGCUAUGGGUUGUAAACUUCUUUUAUAAAGGAAUAAAGUCGGGUAUGUAUACCCGUUUGCAUGUACUUUAUGAAUAAGGAUCGGCUAACUCCGUG
rnacentral:rRNA from 1 species